rnacentral:rRNA from 1 species
AGCGAACGCUGGCGGCAGGCUUAACACAUGCAAGUCGAGCGGGCGUAGCAAUACGUCAGCGGCAGACGGGUGAGUAACGCGUGGGAACGUACCUUUUGGUUCGGAACAACCCAGGGAAACUUGGGCUAAUACCGGAUAAGCCCUUACGGGGAAAGAUUUAUCGCCAAAAGAUCGGCCCGCGUCUGAUUAGCUUGUUGGUGAGGUAACGGCUCACCAAGGCGACGAUCAGUAGCUGGUCUGAGAGGAUGAUCAGCCACAUUGGGACUGAGACACGGCCCAGACUCCUACGGGAGGCAGCAGUGGGGAAUAUUGGACAAUGGGCGAAAGCCUGAUCCAGCAAUGCCGCGUGUGUGAAGAAGGCCUGCGGGUUGUAAAGCACUUUCAGUGGGGAAGAAAAGCUUGGUGUGAAUAGCGCCGAGUCUUGACGUUACCCAAAGAAGAAGCACCGGCUAACUCCGUGCCAGCCGCCGC